UGGGGAAUUUUGGACAAUGGGCGAAAGCCUGAUCCAGCAAUGCCGCGUGUGUGAAGAAGGCCUUCGGGUUGUAAAGCACUUUUGUCCGGAAAGAAAUCCUUGGCUCUAAUACAGUCGGGGGAUGACGGUACCGGAAGAAUAAGCACCGGCUAACUACGUGCCAGCAGCCGCGGUAAUACGUAGGGUGCAAGCGUUAAUCGGAAUUACUGGGCGUAAAGCGUGCGCAGGCGGUUUGCUAAGACCGAUGUGAAAUCCCCGGGCUCAACCUGGGAACUGCAUUGGUGACUGGCAGGCUAGAGUAUGGCAGAGGGGGGUAGAAUUCCACGUGUAGCAGUGAAAUGCGUAGAGAUGUGGAGGAAUACCGAUGGCGAAGGCAGCCCCCUGGGCCAAUACUGACGCUCAUGCACGAAAGCGUGGGGAGCAAACAGGAUUAGAUACCCUGGUAGUCCACGCCCUAAACGAUGUCAACUAGUUGUUGGGGAUUCAUUCCUUAGUAACGUAGCUAACGCGUGAAGUUGACCGCCUGGGGAGUACGGUCGCAAGAUUAAAACUCAAAUGAAUUGAC
rnacentral:rRNA from 1 species